GGCGCGCCUGAUAGCGCGCUUCAUGUCGCGGGGCUUUGUGACGGCCUCGAUCAUCGGCUCGGCUCCGAUGCGCGUUU
rnacentral:tRNA from 1 species